rnacentral:rRNA from 1 species
AUUGAACGCUGGCGGCAGGCCUAACACAUGCAAGUCGAGCGAGCGGCGGACGGGUGAGUAAUGUCUGGGAAACUGCCUGAUGGAGGGGGCUAACUACUGGAAACGGUAGCUAAUACCGCAUACCAUCAGAUGUGCCCCGAUGGGGUUAGCUAGUAGGGGGGGUAACGGCUCACCUAGGCGACGAUCCCUAGCUGGUCUGAGAGGAUGACCAGCCACACGGGAACUGAGACACGGGCCAGAUUCCUACGGGAGGCAGCAGUAGGGAAUAUUGCAAAAUGGGCGCAAGCCUGAUGCAGCCAUGCCGCUUGUGUGAAGAAGGCCUUCGGGUUGUAAAGCACUUUCAGCGGGGAGGCGUUCCCGGCAGAAGAAGCCCCGGCUAACUCCGUGCCAGCAGCCGCGGUAAUAC